UACGGAGGGUGCAAGCGUUAUCCGGAUUCACUGGGUUUAAAGGGUGCGUAGGCGGGCAGGUAAGUCCGUGGUGAAAUCUCUGAGCUUAACUCAGAAACUGCCAUGGAUACUAUUUGUCUUGAAUAUUGUGGAGGUAAGCGGAAUAUGUCAUGUAGCGGUGAAAUGCUUAGAUAUGACAUAGAACACCAAUUGCGAAGGCAACUUACUACACAGUUAUUGACGCUGAGGCACGAAAGCGUGGGGAUCAAACAGG
rnacentral:rRNA from 1 species